UGAAAUUCCUGGGCUUAACCUGGGACGGUCAGAUAAUACUGGUUGACUCGAGUAUGGGAGAGGGUAGUGGAAUUUCCGGUGUAGCGGUGAAAUGCGUAGAGAUCGGAAGGAACACCAGUGGCGAA
rnacentral:rRNA from 1 species